rnacentral:rRNA from 1 species
AUUGAACGCUGGCGGCAGACCUAACACAUGCAAGUCGAACGGUAACAGGAAGAAGCUUGCUUCUUUGCUGACGAGUGGCGGACGGGUGAGUAAUGUCUGGGAAACUGCCUGAUGGAGGGGGAUAACUACUGGAAACGGUAGCUAAUACCGCAUAACGUCGCAAGACCAAAGAGGGGGACCUUCGGGCCUCUUGCCAUCGGAUGUGCCCAGAUGGGAUUAGCUAGUAGGUGGGGUAACGGCUCACCUAGGCGACGAUCCCUAGCUGGUCUGAGAGGAUGACCAGCCACACUGGAACUGAGACACGGUCCAGACUCCUACGGGAGGCAGCAGUGGGGAAUAUUGCACAAUGGGCGCAAGCCUGAUGCAGCCAUGCCGCGUGUAUGAAGAAGGCCUUCGGGUUGUAAAGUACUUUCAGCGGGGAGGAAGGGAGUAAAGUUAAUACCUUUGCUCAUUAACGUUACCCGCAGAAGAAGCACCGGCUAACUCCGUG